UUCGGGAAACCGGAGCUAAUACCGGAUAAUAUUUGAACCGCAUGGUUCAAAAGUGAAAGACGGUCUUGCUGUCACUUAUAGAUGGAUCCGCGCUGCAUUAGCUAGUUGGUAAGGUAACGGCUUACCAAGGCAACGAUGCAUAGCCGACCUGAGAGGGUGAUCGGCCACACUGGAACUGAGACACGGUCCAG
rnacentral:rRNA from 1 species